rnacentral:misc_RNA from 1 species
AAGGAGUCUAACAUGCCUGCGAGUGUUUGGGUGGUAAAACCCAGGCGCGUAAUGAAAGUGAAAAGUUGGGACUCUUUAGUGAGGCAACGACGCCCGAUCCUGACGUUCUCUGACGGAUUUGAGGCAGAGCAUGAAUGUUAGGACCCGAAAGAUGGUGAACUAUGCCUGAAUAGGGCGAAGCCAGAGGAAACUCUGGUGGAGGCUCGUAGCGAUUCUGACGUGCAAAUCGAUCGUCAAAUUUGGGUAUAGGGGCGAAAGACUAAUCGAACCAUCUAGUAGCUGGUUCCUGC